GUUAUGGCAAUCAGCAAUAAUCGCUUCACGAAGCUGUCUCAAAUUGUUCGGUUGUUGAUCUAAUUUAAUUCCCUGUAGCUAUGGGACAUGGAAUACUGCGAAGCAAUUCUUAAUUAAAAGAGCCAUCUUUUUCGAAAUUUUGUUGCUUUUCAAAUGAUAAUAAAACAAAUAAAUAAAUAAGGAAAAUCAUUCGUUACACGUUUCAAUUCAAAUUAAAUUGAUACAAGCGAAUAUGUCUGACGAAAUUCUAAAAUUUAUCAAAACAGUUUAAUAGGCCAUUUUUAGCCAAUUUGUCAGAUUUUCAAAACUUCGUUCCAAUUUUUAUUUGGCGAUAUCCCAGUCAAUAUUGCACGUAAAUAAACAUACUAUAGCUCAAAAUUUAAGUUAGACUAUUAUGAAUACAGCUACGUUUAUUUCAGGGAUGUAACCCUUAUAGAUUGUUCGCUGUACUAAAUCAAACAGUUAUACUUUUUUUUGCGCCACCCGGUAUAAGCCAU